GCGGCGCUGCCAUGGAGACACGGCCCCGCGGCCCUAGGCCCCGCCCCGGGAGCCCUGCAGCGCCUCGCCCCGCUGCCCGCGUCUCCGAGGCUCACGACGCGCGGGGCCUCUCGGGAGCUGGAUGCUCGGAGCAGAAAGGCGGCCCUGGGGGCCCCUUCCGGUCCCGGGGCUGACCCCUGGCGGCCUCGCCGGGAACCCGCGCCCUUUCAAGCGCCGCUGGCUCCUGUUUCACAGAUGGAGACCCUGAAGCCCCAACAGGCAGCCUUCCCAGCACCGCCCAGUGACUGAAAAAGCUGGCACUGGGCGCCCGUCUCACUCCCCACCCAGCUCCCAGGCUGCCCCACGGGAGCAGCAUCUUUGGGGAGAGACGAGACCUGAACAGACGCUGGGGCCGGAUCCCCAGGGUGGGUCAGAACUGCCGCUGCCCUGAAAGCCGUCUCGGACAGAUGCGUGCAGGGUGUGCCACCGGAGCUCCUUGCAGCUUGUGUCUGGGGCCACCAUGUCCCUUCCUCAGGGCGCUGGAUCCAUCUCUUCAAGCUCAGUGGUCCAGGCCAUGGUGGCAGAAUCACCCCCCAGGGUGUGACGCCACGUCUUUAUCAAUUCCACACAGCUGCACCCGGAAGAGCUGUGGCUGGGCGCUGCUGUGACCUGUGUGCGGUCCCCUGAAUGGGUCUCAGGUGUCUUCAGAAUGGCGAGGCCGCCUCAUUUCCUCGCCACACAACCCUCCUGAGGACGCUGCCUGCAAAUGGGCUAAAUUCCUAAUUUCUACCAUUCAAUUAAACGAGGGCUCCUUAAACCCCAAAGCUGGGAAAGCUGUCCGUUAAUUUAGUGCAAAGCUUGUGGCAGCUGUCCACUCGUGGGCCAUCUCAGAACAGCAGGAUUCCCAGGAGUCCAGCGGGACAGGGGAGGGGAUGAGUGGCCGCGUCCCCUUGGCAGAGAAGGCCUUGUCUGAAGGCUACGCCCGCCUCCGAUACAGAGACACCUCCUUGCUCAUCUGGCAGCAGCAACAGCAGAAGUUGGAGUCGGUGCCACCCGGGACAUACCUGAGCAGGAGCCGAAGCAUGUGGUACUCACAGUAUGGAAAUGAGGCCAUCUUGGUCCGAGACAAAAACAAGCUCGAGGUCUCCAGGGACACAGGGCAGUCCAAGUUUUGCACAAUCAUGUAAUUCCGAUGUGAGCACCUGAGCCCAGGACCACACUUCAAGGAAAACAGACCCGAGUUUCAUUCAGUUGUCUUGAUUUCCAAUCCUUGCUGGAAGAUUUUGAAUAAUGAAUGUGAAGAUCAAACUGUGGCGUAAGAACCCAAGCAGCACAGAAUCUGCCCCCGAGUCCCUCAGCACAGCCACGGUCUGACUGGUGCACAGGACACUUCCCCUGUAGAGUCCCCUCUGUAGUCAGCUGUUGUGGCAUUCAGAUUCUCCAGGUGCUGCUAGGGACAGCAUAGGCCUGGGCACUGCUAGAUGCUUGGUUUAACCAAGCCAAGAGUAACCCUCCCAUCCCCGUUAUAAACCACCUUUUCAAGUUUGUAUAGGUUUUAGCUUUUUGUUUUUAGCAUAAAUGGCGGAAGAGCAGCAGCAUCUCACCGGGAGCUUUGUCGCACUUACAGUAUGGAAAUGAGGCCAUCUUGGUCCGAGACAAAAACAAGCUCGAGGUCUCCAGAUGUUUGUUGCUUUUUGCUUUUUUGAGACAGGGUCUCACUCAGUUGCCCAGGCUGGACUGCAGUGGCACGAUCACAGCUCACUGUAGGUUCGAUCUCAUGGGCUCAGGUGAUCCUCCCAAAUUCAGCCUCCCGGGUAGCUGUGGCUCCAGGCGAACUACUGUGUAUAGAGACGGGGUUUCCCUAUGUUGCCUAGGCUGGUCUUACACUCCUGGGCUCAAGCCUCCCAUGAUGCUGGGAUUACAGGCGUGGGGCACCGCACCAAGCCCGCAUUUAUAUUUUGAAUUACCAAAAUGAUCAUCAUGUGUGAAGCAUCAUGGUAGCUUCCAAGUAUUUGCGGCCCACCGGCCAGUGCCUCCAAAACACAUUCAGGAAACCUGAGAGUUGUAAGUUGCACAUGUGUGGUGUACAGUGAUUUCCACGUAGUAACAGGGCUGAGCAAGGCAGGCUCUCCAUCAGACUUAAAGCAUCCAGCCUCUCUGCCCCCAGGCCGACACUGACAUGUGUUCACUGUCGCUGCCACAGCCGGCCACCUGUGUGUUCAGUCUCCAUGAAGGAUUCACCCUCUGCUCUGACAUCUCCUUGGCUACACAAAUGUGCAGCUGUGCAAGUUCAUUCACAAACAUCCUAGAAGUGGAACUGCUGGGUCAAAGUGCAUUCCCCAAAUGUCCUGCCAGAGGCCUGGUCGGCAGCAGCCUCCUGCACUGCCCGAGUCCUUUCUGAGGGAUUCCUGGCUUGUGUGCAGCCUGCGGCUGGGAGGUUUGAAGUCGGACUUCCAGGAUGGCUGCAUGGAGCUGCAGAGCGAGCGAGCAUGGGGCUGGAGGACCUGCCCCGCCAGCCGACACACCCACAGCAAGGCGGGCCUGCCAAGGAAGCACUACACAUCCACUAGGUAGGGUUUGUCUGCAUCUUCUCAGUUCUUCAGUUUAAGUCCUGCCUGGGAAGAAAGCAAACUCCAGAGGCAAAUCCGGGAUGCCUGUGUGCCACCUUCUCACCGCACCACGGACUCCCCCGAGGAUGGGUUGUGCUGGGGUUGACCCCAAGCAUGGGAGGCAGCGCUGACACGCAGAAUGGGGUCUGAGGUCAUGUGCAGCGCUGGGAGGAUGUGUGUUCAAGGGCCAGUCUCUGCAGGGGUCAGGGCGUGUGGGCCAUGCACAAGCCAGCUGGCACUAAGCUGCUUAGGCUGCAGAAAGAUACCAUCUGCCUGGGGCGAACAAGGCCCCACGUCCGUCCUCAAGGUGGCUGGUCUGGAUAAGGGUCACAAUCUGGCCAAGAGUGACACCGUGCCCCGACUCCAUCUGGGGUCGAGUUGGACAGGUCCUCAGGCCUAGACGUGGGCCCAGCCAGAAUCUUCUCCCCUGGAACGUCUCCUCCAGGCCUAGUUCCAGAGCUGUCAUUCUUCAGUGAGCUGUGCUGCACGCCAGCCUCUGCAGUCUGGCAGUUAAACCUAUGAAAAUCUGCUUUUGGGAUUUUAUUUGCAUGUCCCUUAGGACUGAGCGCAUCACAGGAAGCCACUUCAGUAUAGACUGAGGUGCAGAGGGAGGGAACAAGUGGCCAGGUCGACUAGAAGAGCACAGAACCUGGCCGUCUCGAAGAGGGCAGCUUGUUCCAGGGAACCAAUGAACUGUCAGUAAAGGGGAUCGUAGCUUCCUAGUGAGGCCGGAAAUGAUGCUCUCUUCAUCCUGCCAGGGCACAGGACAAGGGCUACCUAAUGGUUUGGUUAUUAUUAUUUUUUGGGGAGAUGUCGUCCAGGCUGGAGUGCAGUGACGCAAUCAUGGCUUACUGCAGCCUCAAACUCCUAGCCUCAGGCCAUCCUCCUGCCUCGGCUUCCCAAAGUGCUGAGAUCACAGGCACAAGCCACUGCAUUCUGCCUUUAAAUGGUUUUCUGGGGCCCCUUUUGGAUGCUUUGGGUGUUUUUGCCAAGAGUUACAGGAUGUCAAGUGUGGGGAGCUCAGCACCCUCACUGUGGACCAGUGAAGGCUGUUCCAGACCAGGUGCUUCCAGACAUUUCCAGGCUCCAGGAGAGAGGCUGGGAGCCCCCACAGAAAGCACAGGAAAAUGCAAAAUAACAGUCUUUUUUUUUUUUUUCUUUUUAUUAUGAAAACAAAACAAAUGCCCCAGGAGAAGGGUCCAUGAUUACCAGAAACAUCAAAGAGUACUUUCUACCAUUUUUAUUCUGUUGUGUUGAGGCCAGCAUUGCAAUAAACAAGCUAAACUACUUACAUUGGACUCAUUUUCAGUAACUGACAUUUACAGGAAUAUACUAGAAACGGCACUAAAAAGUUUAAGAAAAGUUACGGUAAACUUGCAUGCACAUCAUACAGAAAAGUAACACUUUAAAUAUAAAAAAGAAAACCUUCCUGGAAGCGUUAUGCCAGUAUUAAGAAACAGCGCUACUCUGGAUGUGACAAAUUCUGUAUGUGGGUGUUACUCUUUCCCAAAAGACUGUCAGAGGCGUGAGUGCUGCAAAAGAACAACAACAAAAACAAACACAAAAGAAAAUGUGUCUUACAGUUUGUAAGCAAGAUGACACCGCCCAACACAAAGAGGGGUCUGGAGUUCAGUUCACGCCCGAAGCCUGCCCCCUCGGCCUCCAGGGGUCACUCAGAGCGUUCUCAAAUCCAAUUCCGACACACGACUUGUCACUGCUCCUCUCCCCUUGAAAAAAGCACGUUAGAAGCUGCCCUACAGGUCUUAGCAGUGGGACAAUCUAAUUGAAUCACCGCAGCCUUCUAAUACAGAAGACAUGGACGUGACUGUCACCCUCAGCCUGCCGGCGAGGGCGCUGAGGAAGUCAUCAAUCCUUCGAAACUCUGAAAAGAAACCAGUGUUGAAGUCUGGACAGAAAGCCUUAAAAAAGUGACAGCACCAAUGCGGCUGCUCAGUGUACCCUCGAUGGGCCGUCAGGGUCAGUGGCUUCUUUCUAGAUGAAAGGAGCAGAGGCGAGCCGACGCCACCAUCACAGAGAACCAGCCGAGAAGGAAUGGCCCCACGACGCUCCUGCUGCGCCGCCCCCACAGCCGGCUGCUCCCCUGACGGCUCACACAGGCGGCACGUGCCUCACUGCCCUGUGGCUGGAGGGACAUUUCAAGGAGCGCCCCCCCAUCCCCAGGCACCCCCAGCUUAGGGUGUGCGCAUCACCCAGCCCUGUGCUGGCAGCACGUUACCAACCAGCCUGCGUGAAGACCUGUCAACUGUCGUGUGUGAAUUCCUUAAAUUCGGUUUAAAUAGUCCAUUAAAGAUCUGUUUAGAAAAUACCUUUGAGAAACAAGGGUAACUUUAAAAAAUGGAAACUUUCAAAUCCAUUUAUAUUUUUAUUAUAAACAAAACUUAAUUAAAAGUUUUUAACAAACUGGCUGAAAACUCACCAAGUGUCAGACUUACCAGCAAUUUAAAAUGUAGUAACUGACCAGCAUUUCCUCAUCAGAGUCCCCUCUCCAGUAAGGGUAUACCUCCAUCUGUAAGGGCCAGUGGACUCUGAAUCAAUUUUACGUUGUUUUUUUUUUUUAAAUCACCAUGUAUUAGGAUACUAAUGAUAGUCCCUAUAUCCAUCCAGAAGUGCUGGCAGAAAGCACUGGCCACCAUACAGGACAGACGACACCACGGCUCCAUACCCAGCGUCUGUCUGGAGGCUCCCCCACGCCGAGGUCCGGGAGAAUGCCUGGUUUCAGUCAUUUCCGGGCUAACUGUGACAACGCGUGAGCAGGGAGCACCGUGCGAGUCUCCGGGAGGGAAUCCUCCUGGGGCCCAGAGACUCCUCCACCCCUGAGGAGGGCAGACAGGCUGGGGAGGGCCUGGCCAGGCCCCUGGAGGCUGGCAUGGGGCAGGCAUGCCCACCCACAAGCCUGGAAGGCUAACCCUGGCAUUCCUGGCCGAAGCCGCCAUGCUCAUUGGUGGGCCAGUGGGGGGCAUCCCCGCACUCAAAGGCCUUAUGGCAGCCUCUGGGAAAACAAAACCAAAACAUAACCUUCUAUUAAACUCUGUAUAUUAUUAUUUUUUACAAUAGAAAGUUAAAAAUCAAGACUUAGAUUUACUAUACAUUUUUUUCUCUCAGAUUACAAAGUUUAUAUUAUAUAACUGGGGUUCCCUAAAUUGAUUUCUUUUAAAACAGUCUUAAAGAGACCAGAAGUGAAUACAAAAGAACUAAACAAAAUAAAAAAUUAGAAUGUGCUGUAGCUGAAAGCUGUCUAUACCUGUAAGCCUCCAAGUUUCAUACAAAAAAAAAAAAAAAAAAAAAA